GCACCAGAACAUAUGACCUAUAAACCCAUUACUCAUGAUGAUAAAAACAUUUGCCAUCAAGAUGCACAGGCAGAAAUAUUAGUCCACAGUUAUAAAAGACCUAAGAAAAACAUUGAAAUGAAAGACACUUCAUCAACAUUUACAAUUAAAGAGAAGAGGCUUUGGCGACAGUUACAAAAUGCAAAAAAAAACAAUAAGGAAUAUAGCGAAGGUAGUUGCAGAAGAACACAACAGAAAUUUUUUAAAUAUUAAAAAACUGAAUAGUACCAUUGUAAAUCCAACAUUCAAAACUAAGAUGAGGGUGAAGUAUGCUGCGCAUGCUCUGAGUAAUACCGUGGCAGCUAUUUUAAAAAUGAUGGCAUGGAAAGAAGUUUCUGAUUGCAAUGAUACAGCAUUUGUGAUUGAACAGUUAGAUAAACUAUUUGAUUGUACAAAUGGUCCAUCAUCUUUAAAUGACGUAAAGAAAGGGAUCCGGGAAAAUGUUUCCACAUCAAGUAAUCACAUUGAGUCUUGGACCUUUUAUACUGAUAAGUUAAAAACCAUAAAAUUUAUAACAGCAGAAAACACGAUACUAAAAAAUGUUAAAUGCGUAAAGGGAUAUCAAAUAUCUAUCAAAUCCUUAAACGAUAUUUGGGAAAAGUUAAAGAAUGAAGGGUUUAAAUAUAUGAACCUUAGACAGUUUAACCAAGACUCUGGAAAACUUAUUUGGAAUCAUUAGGCAACACAGUGUAACCAAUAGAAAUCCCACUAUCACGCACUUUACUGCAGCGCUUAAAACAAGCAUGGUUACUGGGCUGAAAGUGCCUCAUAGCAGAAGUGCUAAUUGUGAAGCAGACAACAAUAAACAUAUGCUGGAAUAUAAAGACAUUUUAAAAACUAAAUUAAAAACAACAGAAAUAAAAAUUAAUGUUCAAGAUUCCACAGACACUGAAUUUUAUCCUGUGUUGUCUAUCCCGGACCCUGAAAACUUAGAACAGCCCAUUGAAAAUUUGUGUAGCCUUGAAAACCAACCAGUAGUAUAUGUAAGCGGGUAUUUAGCUGCCAAACUAUUACAGAACAGUUCUUGUUUAAUUUGUGAAGAGUGUUUGAGCGUGAAAACUCCUGUUGACAAUGAUUUGUAUGCAUAUAUAUCUCUUCGCGAAUGGUGGCAUGAUAAAAAAAGUCUCGUUUAUCCAACAAUUCAAUUAUGUACCACCGUAAAUGAAGCUAAACAAUUUUAUCAUGACCAUAUUGCCGACCAGAUAUAUAUGGAAAAUGUUGGAAAAUUCAUUUUCUUAAUGUUGAGUACAAAUUGUAAUUUUAGUUGGUUUAAAUGUCAACAACAUAAUAAAUAAAUUUAUGAUAAGAUGUUUAAAAUAUUAAGUUACCUUUUUCUAAGAAAAAGUUGUAAAAUCAUUAAUGACAGCUUCAUAAAAAGUGAAAACAAUUUUGCUGACAAAAGUAAAAAAGCACAGCAACAAAGCAUUGAAAAGUAAUCUUAGGGCUGAGGUUCGAUCAGCUGAUAAGAAAAUUAAAGAUGUUUAUAAAUAAAAAUCCUAUUUUUUCUUAGAAAAAGUUGUGAAAAUAAAAGUUUACAAAAUUAUCAUUUCUGUACUUUGUUAUAAUUUUCAAUAAUUCCUCAUGCCUACAACUGCUAUGUCAUGUUCAAUACUUAUUGUA